UCAAACUUGGUCAUUUAGAGGAAGUAAAAGUCGUAACAAGGUUUCCGUAGGUGAACCUGCGGAAGGAUCAUUAAUAAGUGUGCCCUCCCGUUGAGGGAGCGGACUACACCACUGGCCCUGUUGGCGUAAGGCGUGAGCCGGUCGCCAGCGCGUGGGUUAUGUGUCCACCCUUUGUGAAAUAUCUACCUUUGCUUCGGCAGCACUCUCGGUGGUUUUAACCGCCGGAGGGGUAAGGCUGUCAGAAGCCCACAACAAAACCAGUUGAUGAAAUGUCAUGCAGUCUGAUAAACCAUUUUUUGAGAAAUCAAAUCAUGUUAAAACUUUCAGCAACGGAUCUCUUGGUUCCCGCAUCGAUGAAGAACGCAGC
rnacentral:misc_RNA from 1 species